AGCGUUUGAUAAUGGAUGCGU
rnacentral:snRNA from 1 species